CCGCCGGUUGGAAGACGCUGCGGCGGCCGCGACGACAGUUAGGAGGACCGGCGCGCGCCCGGCUCCGGGGUGCGAGCGGGGGCAGCCCAGGCAAAGUCGGAGAGGGAACCCUGCCGCCCCGGGUCUCCUCGGCCAGGAGGAGCGGGUCUGGGCAGAGCAGGAGUGGAGCAAGGACAGAAGAAAGCGGUGCAAGAAAAGACGGCUGGAGCCAGCGGCUAGACCCAGGUCGUACAGGGCUUGGGACCAGCCACCAGCUCGGGCCGCCACCGCCGUCCUGCCCCUCCCCUCCCCCGGAGCCUGACUUCACUCCGCCGCCGGCGCGAGCCCGGCGUAAUUCACACUUUGCAGCCGCGGACGGUGCGCCAACCACGGCCGCCGCCACCCUGACGUCACGACGCCGCGCCGCAAGCCCCGCGCCUCCGCAGCGCCCUGGGAGACGGGUUAGCGGCUUUGGGGGCCCUGGGAUAUCAGCUUGAACAAGCUCUUUCCUGCUGGCAAAAUUGUUGAUUCGGCUCCGCUCUCAGUGCACCCACCUUUCCACUUAUUUGCUAUGACUAGCAACUGACAAGAUGGCAGAUCACUACUGAGGACAUCAGGAAGCACUUGUUACGGAAUGUGCUCUAGCAAGAAGAGGAAACACCCCGGAAACAGAAAUAUUGGGAUCCAGCCAGCAGGACCUUCAACACAGGAGAGAGAAAGACAGCCUCAGAAUGAGAGUUCUUAGAUCACAGCCACAGAGGACACCUAAAGAGACCAGGCCAUAUGGGAGCAGGAUUAUGGUGGCUCUGUGACAGAAGUGAAGGUAACAGAUGACCUGAGGAGGCUGAACAUAGAAUGAGAAACUCUGGAAGAGUUUGGAAUAAAUUUAUUAUUAUUACAUAUAAUAUUAAGAGGGGGGAAGAGAUUCAACUACUAACACCCAAAAUAAAGAGUUGUAAAAGAAAAUCAAUUUAAUCAUUGUAUAUUACAAUGGCCCUUCUAUAAAUAAGUUAUGUAGAAGCACUGAAUAUUCAUUUAACAAAAAUAUAGUGCUAUAAUUAUACUGAGAAGUGGAAGAAGA